UUCACAAGUUAGUGUUUCCAAAAAACCACUUUUAAACAAAAGGUUUACAUCAAUACCACUAAAAUAGGGUAGGACGUAGCCUUACGCAAGCACUACCUAUGCAUCAGUUUCUAUAAUUAUGAACCAACGCAGUCAGAUCAGACUUACUCAGGCACCAAGAGGUGUAAGUCAGCAGAAGCAGCUAAAGAGACCUGAGCAAUGAGCACUUUUAUACGCUGUCACAGAGAACAGGAGACACUUUUACGCAACUGUUUGCUACAUCUUACGAAACACGCUGUUUUCCCCAGAGUUUGUGCUGAAGGCCAACAAGAGGAGAGGACGAUAGGCAUUACCUGCGGGACUAGCGUUUCCUGAGGAACCAUUCCUUGAAGUACAUGUCCAUAACCUCAGCCAGAAUAAAUUCACAAGCUAUGACAAAUACUGAGUCUGUGAUUCACAUAACCAUGCUUACAUCGUAAACCUCUGAGCUAUCUUUGUGUGGCAAAUUAUUAAAACUAGAGCUAAAAAAUG